CUGGUGGAAUGAAGGUAAAGGCUG
rnacentral:piRNA from 1 species